UCUGAGUGCUGGGAUUAAAGGUGUGCACCACGGCUGCUGGGCUGGAUUGGAGUCCGUGCUGUAGGUGUACAGGGUAGGCUGAGAAGGGAGUGGGCCAACACUGGAAGCCAGGCUCCCGGAGUAGACAGAGCUGUGUAGCCGAAGCUACAGCUGAAUAGCUGAGGCUAUCCCUGAAGUCCAGCCUCUCUUCCAGUUCCUGCCGCUCUUCGUGGCCUUGUACAUCCUCGAAAGAAACGGAGAAAGAUGCCCUUCUCUAGAAAGGCUAAGAAGGUGAAGACCCAGAACCCACUGCGUGACUUCAAGCACAGGGGGAAGAAGCCUAAACCCACAGCAAAGCCUUCUUGAGGUUGCCUGAGCCUGGGGACACUGAAUUGGGCAUCCUGGCCUGUGUGGACUGGGCUGCCCACUCCUUGUGGGCACAUUCUGGUGCUUGCUGUUUGGACAGACUACUUUGAGGAAGCAGCUUUGGACACCCCGUCACCUUGGCACUGCUGGGCUGCCAUGUUGUCCGUUAGCAGAAUAAAGAUUCCGUCUGCUCCAGGCUGUGACCCUCUGGACUGUGGGAAGAAACUGCUUUCCCAUAUCUCCAGAGCUGGCAGACUUCGAAAAGGCGAUCCUGUCUGGCUCUGCUGCUGCGUGCAGUGCCGCCGCUGGCACGCAGAGGCCAGGUGUCCUGGUUCUGCUGGUCCAGUGUGGGGCUGGGGCUGACCCAGAGCCCUGUAUUGAGUUCUACUGAUGCAGACCAGCUGACAGGUGGGCUUCUCUUCUUCUAAGUCAGACCCUAAGCCUGCAUCUCACCAGCACAUGCAUGUUCCCAUUCAGAGAAAAGGUGACUAAGCCCUGGGAGACGAGGCGCUCGUGUCCCUUCCUAGGUGAAGGAGCGGGACAGUGUGUUUGUCUCAGAAGCACAAGUGGUAGUAUAGGGAGUGCACGCCGUGAGACCCUUCCUCCGUGUCCCAGCCUGAGCCCUGGCUACGGGAGUAUUCAUUCAGAGCAGGUGAUUCUCCGCAUCCUCCUACCUGACCCGGGUACCACAGUGUGACCCACGGCUGUCUGCCUGUCAGUUCUUAUCAGGCGUGGUAAGGCGAGGCUGGGGUGGGGAGAGACAGUGGAGGGUGGGAGAACUGUCACAUCUGGUGAGGCUCUGGUUAUAGUUAGGGUGUGUGGCUUAGUGACAGGAUCUGAGACUUGGGGUUUCUUUAUCUUAACUCCAAGGGUCUUCAGAAAGCUGGAGUCUGUCACCUGGGAAGACAGGGAUUGUGAGUGGAUAGAUAGAUUCCAGAGCCUUGAUGUCCACAGUGGUAUAGACCUGUGCUCAGUUGUACUGAGAAAAGGUCCUGGAGCUGGAGAUCAAGAACAACCCUGGGGCUGGGAAAUGGUUGUAGAUAAAGCGUUUGCUAUGCAAGUAGUGAGGGCCAGCAUUUGCAGCCGCAGCAUCCAAAUUAAAGCUGAGUGGCAGCCCGCAUCUCCAAUUCCAUUGUGUGCCUUGUGGGCAGGGAGAGCUAAAGGAACUUGCUAGCUAGGCUGUGUGGCCCAAACAGGAAGCUCUAGGUUCAGGGAAAGACCGCGUCCUAAAAGCUAAGAUGGAGAGCAAUGGAGGAAGACCCUGGUCUCAGCCUGUGACCUCGCGGGCAUGACAGCAUGUACCAGCACACGCAAGCAAAGAGCAGUCGCUGGCCUUUUCCGUCCUGCCUUGUGACAGCCCCGGACAGUCGAGUGCCCCGAGGUGAAUGUUGCAUCCAUGCCUGCUGUUCCUGUAGCAUUGCCUGUGGUUCUGACACUUUAGUUACCAUGGUGAGGACAUGUGCCCCAGAACCUUCACCCAAUGGAGAGAUCGGGUUUCCCUGGUGAGGGUUCCUGUGGGACGAUGAAGCUGGUAUAAAGUCACCAAGGCGUAGGACCAGAGCUGUGGCGGGGAGUGUGGCAAAGGUCACACGCACUGCACGUUUUCCUUGCAACUUAGAGCAGCCCUUGGGAGGCGGUUCUCGUGCUCUAGCUGGGGUAGCUGAGGCUUAAACCAGCUCAGUGGGACUGGCGUGAUGGCUCAUCAGGUAAAGGUGCUUGCCUAUAAGGUGUAUGAACUAAGGUCAGUUUUUAGGACCCCUGUGUUAGAAGGAAAGAACUGAUUGCUACAAGUUUUCUGACCUCCGCAUAUGUGCUAUGGCAUUUGUGCCCCCAUGCCCCAUAAAUAAAUUGAAAAUUAAAGCAA
rnacentral:sRNA from 1 species